GUGGGUUGUAUGCCUUGUUCAGGGGAAGAACGACCGAUUUUUACCUCGAUGUAGCAACCAUUCGGUUACUGUCCCAACGCUCUAACCACUAGGCUACCUGCCGCCCCUACAGUAUAACACAAUGAAAACAUAAGGUGUAUAAUGAAUUGAUGAGAGAGAUGUCUGAAAUAUUACUUUCAUUUGUAACCCCUGUUGCUUUAGAAUAAAAGAAAAGUUGGUUCCUGAUUCAGUCACGUCUUUAGCCACGUUUGUGUAGGUCAAACAAAAACACCCUCGUGUGGUUGACCAAUAGUGCCACCCACAAUGCAGGUGAUGGCUGCAUGGUGCAGUUGGCGACUUAAUCAAAAACUGCAUGACCUUUGAUCACAUAAUUUUUGUCAAGUUCAUGCAGUCAAUAUUUAGUUGCAAGUCUGAUAAUUUUUAUAACCUUAAUACAACACACUUUGAAAGCCUUGACCAACGAUGGUCACCGACUUGAUGUAAUUUGGGUGAACUAUCCCUUUAAACUUAAUAAACCAUUCAAGCAGAGAUCUGUAUGUAAUUAUGAAAUGCUCAUGUCUCCGCUCUAGCAAUGGGAGUUGUUGUCCCAACAUAAACCCAUAGAAACAAAUUGGCCUUAUUUUGGACAGAUUUUAGCGAGAGUGAAACAUCUCGCCUGGCCCAUCCUCUCUGUCCAAACGCAUUUUGGUACGUCACGUUAUUGCGACGGAAUGGACUUUUCCCUCUUAUUCUGAUGACGUAGACCUCAGUUCAGCAAGUUGACAGGUCAACAACGCGUUUCCACAAUGCAAAUAAUAACAAAAUAACCACGUUGUUACGUGUUAGUUGACAUUUGUAUUGUGGUCAGACAUGACCUGAAUGUAGAACCUUUGAACUGGAAGUAUUCUAUAGAUUUUAGGCCGUGGUUUCCUGAUCAAAAUGUUGUUUCUUAUGGAUUCAGUGAUAAUGUUCACCUCACAGGUAAGAACUAACGUUUGAUAGCGAACAUAAAUUCACCCCAUUCCGUACAAAUGUGUUGACUUCAAAAUCGGGGGUGUGAAUUAGGUUUCUAUUCAAGCGUUGAUCGACAUAGUAAUGGCUCUAUAGUAUUGGAGAAAAGUUGAAAAAACGGACCCUCCGUUACAUCGUGUCAUGUCGUAACGUACAGCACGCAUAAAGCAACUAUUUCUGUCUUACAAUCUCUCUCCACCAGGUGUAGCACUUCUCUCAUCGUUUAAAAACAAGAAAUGGACAGUGACGGGGUAAGGGGGGGAUACCUAGUCAUUUUUUGCGUCAUCAUUCUCAAAGCCGCUGUUUACUUCUAAGAUCACUUUAGCACCGCCCUAAAAACCCGAUUCAAAUUCGACACAAACCUUCAAAUAGGUAUGUACUGACACAUUAUAUAAACUCUUUAUAGUGUUUUAUUUACAUUUUAGAGGCGAUAAGGUGAUAAGUUGGACAGAUCGAGUGAAAAAAAGCUAUUUUCCCACACAACAUCUCUCCUUCUCACUAUCACGCAUUAGUUUCACUUCCCCACCCGCCAUUUGUAAAAAGACCCGACGGGGCUCAUUGCCUGCUUGAAUUAUGCAGAAAUGGGCAGCGUUUAGGUCAUGUAAUUGAUCAUGUUGGAAAGGGGAGAAAUUUUGCUCUACAAUGGUAUUGACAUUACAGUUGAUCUGGAAGUAUUACGUUUUUGGGUCGCUAAAAUAAGGGCAAUUAUACGGAUCAAGGCGAUGUACGUGUUUACGUGAGUUUACGUUAGCUAGAUAACGCAUCACAGCAUUUUGGGAUCUUGUUGCUUAGCCAGCUAACGUUAGGAUGUUUGCACAUACACUCACUGUCUGGUGCAGGUUAACCAACGUGGAAAUCUUCCAACUCUCUUCUCAGGUGCUGUUCUUUGGCUUUGGGUGGCUGUUCUUCAUGCGGCAGCUGUUCAAAGACUAUGAGGUACGACAGUAUGUGGUCCAGGUGGUGUUCUCCAUCACCGUUGCCUUCUCCUGCACCAUGUUUGAGCUUAUGAUCUUUGAGAUACUGGGUGCCUUAGAAACUAAUGCAGAGACAGAAGCUGCUCUUUGCCUGUGUCAUGUAUUUCUUCUGGAAGUUGGGGGACCCUUUCCCCAUCCUUAGUCCCAAACACGGGUGGCCAACCGUCCUCCAGGAGAUUCCAGGAAAGCUACUGGGUAUGCAGGCUUUUGUUCCAGCCCUGUUCGAACAGGGCCGUCAACUGCCCUUACACCUACAUGUCCUACUUUCUACGGAAUGUGACAGAGAGUGACAUUCUUGCCUUGGAGAGGAGACUUCUUCAGACCAUGGACAUGGUCAUCAGCAAGAAGAAACGGUGAGCGUGAGAGAGAAUCACGUGCUGUUGUCUUGUGUUUGAUGUCAUAUGUUUUGUGUUUUGUCCGUGCAGCAUUGCCAUGACGCGGAGGCAGAUGUACCAGCGAGGGGAGGACCAGAACAAACAGACAGGAUUCUGGGGCAUGAUCAAAAGUGUCACAACCUCACCAACGCGCAGC